GAGGCCUGGCCCCGCGGCCGCCCGCCGCCGCCGCCGCCCGCCGCCGCCGCCCCGGCCCGCCCGGCCCGCCGCGGGGCCACGGGCCCGACACGGCGCCCCGGAUUCGCCUCGGCUCGGCCGCGCGGCAUUGAAAAGGAAAAGAUGAAAUAUAUGUUUAUAUAUAACUGUGUUUCUCCAUACCUCACUGAAGUCAAAACGCAUUUAAUUGUUGUACCUCCCUUCCUCCGCGAUCUCCGACACUGGUAAAGUGGAAGGAACUCAGGUACCCUGCCACAGAAAAGUACUGGGACUGAGCAAGAGAAAGAGUGUUACGAACACCCUGAGAUCUGUGGACCCCAGGUUACAACUCUGACGCAGGGAACCAGUGACAGUGAUCGGUAGAGCACAGACAUGCGCUCGUGGAACAGGCAGGUCAAAGGACUGAAAAAGCGCUUUGCCAUCUGUGAUUUCCCACUCAAGGAAAUGUUAAAGAGGGUCCUAAUUGUCUUUUGAAAUAUAUAGAUUGGUGAUAAUAAUGGAAGUCAUGGAAGUACUGAGGAUAUCCUAGACUUAAUCAUGGAAUUUUAGAGAGAAGAUCAUCUAAACCAGUGGCUUCCAAAUGGCUAAGUAAGGUUGCCACCUGCCCUUUGCUGAGAAGAUCUGUCCUUUGUUUUGAGAUUACACAUUUUUUUUAAGUUUAUUUAUUUAUUUUGAGAGAGACAGAGCACGAUUGGGGGAGGGACAGAGAGGGAGGCGGGGAGAGAAUCCCAAGUAGGCUCCACACC